GGAGCAUUGGCGCAGCUGGCAGCGCGCCUGGUUUGGGGCCAGGAGGCCCGGGGUUCGAGCCCCCGAUGCUCCACCA
rnacentral:tRNA from 1 species